GUACGGGAGGCAGCAGUGGGGAAUUUUGGACAAUGGGGGAAACCCUGAUCCAGCCAUGCCGCGUGAGUGAAGAAGGCCUUCGGGUUGUAAAGCUCUUUCGGACAGAAAGAAAUCCUAUCCGCUAAUACCGGGUGGGGAUGACGGUACUGUAAGAAGAAGCACCGGCUAACUACGUGCCAGCAGCCGCGGUAAUACGUAGGGUGCGAGCGUUAAUCGGAAUUACUGGGCGUAAAGCGUGCGCAGGCGGUUUUGUAAGACAGAUGUGAAAUCCCCGGGCUUAACCUGGGAACUGCAUUUGUGACUGCAAGGCUAGAGUGUAGCAGAGGGGGGUAGAAUUCCACGUGUAGCAGUGAAAUGCGUAGAGAUGUGGAGGAAUACCGAUGGCGAAGGCAGCCCCCUGGGUUAACACUGACGCUCAUGCACGAAAGCGUGGGGAGCAAACAGGAUUAGAUACCCCGGUAGC
rnacentral:rRNA from 1 species